rnacentral:rRNA from 1 species
GAUGAACGCUGGCGGCGUGCCUAAUACAUGCAAGUCGAGCGAACAGACGAGGAGCUUGCUCCUCUGACGUUAGCGGCGGACGGGUGAGUAACACGUGGAUAACCUACCUAUAAGACUGGGAUAACUUCGGGAAACCGGAGCUAAUACCGGAUAAUCUAUUGAACCGCAUGGUUCAAUAGUGAAAGACGGUUUUGCUGUCACUUAUAGAUGCAUCCGCGCCGUAUUAGAUAGUUGGUAAGGUAACGGCCUACCAAGGCAAGGAUGCGUAGACGACGGGAGGGAGGGAUAGGCGACCUGGGAACGGAGACAGGGUCAAUACGCCUACGGGACGGAGCAGUAGGGAACGGGCCGCAAUGGGCGAAAGCAUGACGGAGCAACGCCGCGUGAGUGAUGAAGGUCUCCGGAGCGGAAAACUGUGCUACGAGUGAAGAACAAAUGUGGAAGUAACCAUGCACGUCGUGACGGUAACUAAUCAGAAAGCCACGGCUAACUACGUG